rnacentral:tRNA from 1 species
GCCCGGAUAGUCAGUCGGUAGAGCAGGGGAUUGAAAAUCCCCGUGUCCUGGUUCGAUUCCGAGUCCGGCACCA